rnacentral:rRNA from 2 species
GGGUUGUGAGGUUAAGCGACUAAGCGUACACGGUGGAUGCCCUGGCAGUCAGAGGCGAUGAAGGACGUGCUAAUCUGCGAUAAGCGCCGGUAAGGUGAUAUGAACCGUUAUAACCGGCGAUUUCCGAAUGGGGAAACCCAGUGUGAUUCGUCACACUAUCAUUAACUGAAUCCAUAGGUUAAUGAGGCGAACCGGGGGAACUGAAACAUCUAAGUACCCCGAGGAAAAGAAAUCAACCGAGAUUCCCCCAGUAGCGGCGAGCGAACGGGGAGGAGCCCAGAGCCUGAAUCAGCAUGUGUGUUAGUGGAAGCGUCUGGAAAGGCGCGCGAUACAGGGUGACAGCCCCGUACACAAAAGCGCAUGUGCUGUGAGCUCGAUGAGUAGGGCGGGACACGUGGUAUCCUGUCUGAAUAUGGGGGGACCAUCCUCCAAGGCUAAAUACUCCUGACUGACCGAUAGUGAACCAGUACCGUGAGGGAAAGGCGAAAAGAACCCCGGCGAGGGGAGUGAAAAAGAACCUGAAACCGUGUACGUACAAGCAGUGGGAGCACAGGUUUACCUGUGUGACUGCGUA